rnacentral:rRNA from 1 species
AGAUUGAACGCUGGCGGCAUGCUUUACACAUGCAAGUCGAACGGUAACAGGCCGCAAGGUGCUGACGAGUGGCGAACGGGUGAGUAAUGUAUCGGAACGUGCCCAGUCGUGGGGAUAACGCAGCGAAAGCUGCGCUAAUACCGCAUACGAUCUAUGGAUGAAAGCGGGGGACCGUAAGGCCUCGCGCGAUUGGAGCGGCCGAUAUCAGAUUAGGUAGUUGGUGGGUAAAGGCUACGACCAAGCCAACGAUCUGUAGCUGGUCUGAGAGGACGACCAGCCACACUGGACUGAGACACGGCCCAGACUCCGUACGGGAGGACGAGACAGGUAGGGGUAAUUUUGGGAACAAGUGGGCGCGAACGCC